rnacentral:rRNA from 1 species
GGUGUUGCAUGGCUGUCGUCAGCUCGUGCCGUGAGAUGUUGGGUUAAGUCCCGCAACGAGCGCAACCCUCAUCCUUAGUUACCAUCAGGUAAUGCUGGGGACUUUAAGGAAACUGCCAGUGAUAAACUGAAGGAAGGUGGGGAUGAUGUCAAGUCAUCAUGGCCCUUAUGGAGUGGGCUACACACGUGCUACAAUGGUGGCUACAAUGGGCUGCAAAGUCGCGAGGCUAAGCUAAUCCCUUAAAAGCCAUCUCAGUUCGGAUUGUACUCUGCAACUCGAGUGCAUGAAGUUGGAAUCGCUAGUAAUCGUGGAUCAGCACGCCACGGUGAAUACGUUCCCGGGUCUUGUACACAC